rnacentral:tRNA from 1 species
UGGCUUAGAGGGUAAAGCAUCUGCCUGCAAUGCAGGAGACCUGGGUUUGACCCCUG